AACUUGAGAGACAGCUGAUGCAUGCCUUUGUCCUUUGUUAUUUAUUCUUUGAUGUAAUUUACAUGCUACCAGGAGCUCCAGGGCCACACCCUUUGGCUGUUCCAGGUGAUGCUGAUGCAGUUGGUCCCAGUACCACACUUGGAGAAUCAGUGCUUUUAAGGGUGGAGGUGGACGUGGACAUGGACGUGGACCCGGAGGUCUGGAGGAGUGACUCAACAUGACAGCUUUUUAGGCUAGCUUUCCCCUGCCAAUCAAGAGCAAGAAGAUAAAGAAUUAAACAAAGAAACACAUUGUGGUUUAUAAUUCUGAAAAGGAAAUAAGAACAGCUCUCAAACCAGUGAGAAAAUGAAAUUAAGUAGAAAUUAUGAUAAAGAUCUCCUUUGCUGUUUGUAGAAUUUGCCCUGGGACCUAAGCUUUAUUUUAGAGAGAGAGAAGCAGACUCCCCACUGAGC